UACGUAGGGGGCUAGCGUUGUCCGGAAUCAUUGGGCGUAAAGAGCGUGUAGGCGGCCCGGUAAGUCCGCUGUGAAAGUCGGGGGCUCAACCCUCGGAUGCCGGUGGAUACUGUCGGGCUCGAGUACGGAAGAGGCGAGUGGAAUUCCUGGUGUAGCGGUGAAAUGCGCAGAUAUCAGGAGGAACACCUAUUGCGAAGGCAGCUCGCUGGGACGUUACUGACGCUGAGGGACGAAAGCUAGGGGAGCGAAUGGG
rnacentral:rRNA from 1 species